GGCCUAACACAUGCAAGUCGAACGUGAAGCCACCUUCGGGUGGUGGAAAGUGGCAGACGGGUGAGUAACGCGUGGGAAUCUACCCAAUGGUACGGAAUAACUCAGGGAAACUUGAGCUAAUACCGUAUGUGCCCGAAAGGGGAAAGAUUUAUCGCCAUUGGAUGAGCCCGCGUCUGAUUAGCUAGUUGGUGGGGUAACGGCCCACCAAGGCGACGAUCAGUAGCUGGUCUGAGAGGAUGAUCAGCCACACUGGGACUGAGACACGGCCCAGACUCCUACGGGAGGCAGCAGUGGGGAAUAUUGGACAAUGGGCGCAAGCCUGAUCCAGCCAUGCCGCGUGAGUGAUGAAGGCCCUAGGGUUGUAAAGCUCUUUCGGCGGGGACGAUAAUGACGGUACCCCCAGAGGAAGCACCGGCUAACUCCGUGCCAGCAGCCGCGGUAAGACGGAGGGUGCAAACGUUGUUCGGAAUCACUGGGCGUAAAGGGCGCGUAGGCGGACUCGUAAGUCGGGAGUGAAAACUCGGGGCUCAACCCCGAGCCUGCUUCUGAAACUGCGAGUCUUGAGGACCGGAGAGGAAAGUGGAAUUCCUAGUGUAGCGGUGGAAUGCGUAGAUAUUAGGAAGAACACCAGUGGCGAAGGCGACUUUCUGGACGGUUCCUGACGCUGAGGCGCGAAAGCUAGGGGAGCAAACAGGAUUAGAUACCCUGGUAGUCCUAGCCGUAAACGAUGAGUGCUAGGUGGUGGUAGUUUCAACACUCUCACCGCCGCAGCCAACGCAUUAAGCACUCCGCCUGGGGAGUACGGC
rnacentral:rRNA from 1 species